rnacentral:lncRNA from 1 species
GAGGACAGGAUGAGGUUUCCGGCUUCCCAGGCAGCAAGGCUCUUCUUCUUCCUUAGUCUUCCCUCCUCUUCGCCACGCCAGGCCUCCUCUCUUUGCCAGGGAGGCUUCUCUUCUCAGAGCCCAAUUCUGGGAUGGCGAGAGCGAGGAAGGGCUGAGCUGGGCGGACUGGCCUUGCAAGGGUUAAAGGGGACCGAGCUGCCUUCCUAGAGAGGCCAGGAAGCAAGGGGGGCCAAGUCCUCCAGAGCCAAUCCCCCCCCCUUCCCCAGUCCUUUCCUGCCUCGCUGUCCCUCCUGGGAUCUGGUGAGUCUCCUCUCUCUCUGGGAUCUGGUGAGUCUCCUCUCUCUCUGGGAUCUGGUGAGUCUCCUCUCUCUCUGGGAUCUGGUGAGUCUCCUCUCUCUCUGGGAUCUGGUGGGGGUCCCAGGGCUGCAGCAGGGGAGGGGCCUGGGGGGACCCCAAGUCAGGGAGGAGAGGGUCAGGGGUGCAAAGACCCCCCCUUAUGCUCCUGCUACCCAGAGGAGGAAGGAGCCCCGGGGCUGAGAGCCAGAGCUUUUUGCCAGACUCCCCAGGAGGAAGAUCAGGGCAGGAGAGAGCGGGGGGGGGGGGACCCCAAGUCAGAGAGGAGAGGGUCCUGCCAGGGAGGGGCCAGGUCUGCCACGCUCUCCUUCCUGCAGAGUAGAGGAUCCCAAACUCAUUUGACCCUCCUCCCCCCCCUUUCAGAAAAGAUCUCCCUUCUGUAAACAAAAGAAUCCCUGGACUUUAACUCUCUGUGACGUCUCUCAGCGUCACUGCACAAAAGAGGAAACAUCUGCAAAUGGUUUUCCAAAGCUGGACGAGGAGGUGGACUAGCCCCCCCCCCCAGAAAACCCCACGGGGAGGGAGGAAGAAAAGGUGGGAGAGAAAGGAGAGGAGUAAAGAGAGGGAUCCCAGCCCAGAGUCUGGCUGCUGCAUUGGGGACCAGUUUCCCGGUGUCUCCCAGGGCAGCUCCCCACGGAGGCCACGGCAGCAAUCCCCUCGCACCCAGAGCAGGGCAUCCCAGGACCACAUCCUCUCUCUCCCAAAGGGAUUGUUGCUGGCAAAGCAACCGGAAAUGGGCGCUGCUACUCACUGAGCCUCCAGGGACCUGGGCAUCAAUGGCUGUGUGUGUGUUCAGCCAUCUAAGAGAAUAAUAAUAAUAAGUUAGCUUCCUAAAUUUCAAGGGCAAUGUCUUUGGCCCUCAGGGGGUUUGCCAGGUACAUACCUGGCCCUCAGAGCAAAGAAAAAGGGACCCCACCCCAGGAGUCUGUCUUGAAAGUGGCAGAGUCCAAGUGCAAGAAAAGAAGAUAGAAUUUGGGCAACUAGCUGGUUUUAAGCUUAAUAAGGCCAAGAUGAAAAGGUUAACUAAAAAUACAGUUUAAGAUAUGGUGGAAGAAUUGCAAGGCAAGUCUUUGGGAAUAUGGUUAACAGCAAAGAGUAUGAAUUUAGCUGGCCCUCAGAGCAAAGAAAAAGAGACCCCACCCCAGGAGUCUGUCUGGAGAGCGGCAGAGAGUCCAAGUGCUAGAAAAGGAGACAGAAGCAGGGGGGAAAUGUGCCCAGAAGUGGGGGUGGGGGGAGCAACUCCUGAGGACCCCCGGGUGAGGACCCCCACUAGAGCCAAGCAUCCAUUUUUCACAAGAUGCAAAUGACUCCCUUGUCAGUCAGUUCCAAAUUCAUGCAUUUACUUUACGGAAGCAUUUAAUCUUUGAUGCAUUACUGUAUUUUAAUAUUUUGUUGGAAGCCUCCCAGAGUGGCUGGGGAAGACCACCCAGAUGGGUGGGGUAUAAAUGAUAAUGUAUGUGGGGGGUGGGGGUGGGAUGGAUGUUUGGUUGGGCUUGGGGACUUUUUUUGGAUUUUGAUGUUUUUGUAAUUUUUACAGUUUUUUGUUUGUAUUGUUUUAUUGGUUUUGUUUGUUUGUUUAAGGUGUUAUUUUGUUCUUAAGGGGAGGGGUCAGGGCUGCCGGGGAGUGGGCCCCAGCCCACAAAAUGGCUGGGGCAUGUUCCACAGGGGGGGAUGCACUGGGACAACCAAUCUCAGUGAUCACGGGUAGGAGGAGGAGUUACGCUAAGACCAGACCAUGUCAUUACAGAGGAGGCAGGUUUAGUCGUUGUCUGAGGACUAUUCCUGCCUCCGGGUCUGGUCCUGACCGGAUGGAUACUAGAAUCAGCAAGGGAUACCCACAUGACCUGAAAGUGUUGCUGUGCAAUGCCAGGUCAAUGAUUCAUAAGACCACUGCCAUCCAUGACUUGAUCAUGGGUGGAGGACUUGACCUGGCAUGUGUAACAGAGACUUGGUUGGAUGAAGCAGAUGGGCCUGUCCUUGCCGCUGCUUGUCCACCAGGUUUCCAUUACACACACAGCAACCCAGGUCAUGUGGCGGGGAGGGGGGGUUGCAGUGAUUUUUAGGAAGUCAUUAGUUUGCACCAGGCGUCCUAUUGGGAAGACCCAGUUCUCUGAGUGCAUGUUCUGGAAGUUGGACAAUAGGGGCAGUUACAGGAUUCCUUUUGGUGUACCGACCUCCCCGCUGCACCAAGGAUUCCCUGCCCGAGCUGCUUCAGGUCGUGGCGGAUGUUCUCCUGGAGACACCUAGCUUGGUCGUCCUAGGGGAUUUUAACAUCCAUGCCGACACGACCUUACAAGGGGCCGCUCGGGACUUCGUGGAAAGCAUGGCCUCCAUGGGGCUGUCCCUGAAUAAGUCUGGCCCAACCCAUAGUUGCGGACAUGCCUUGGACCUGGUGUUUACCUCUAUGGAUGUUGGUGAUCUGACACUAAGUAAAAGCGAAACGAAAGAAGUGCCAUGGUCAGAUCACUUCCUGGUGCAACUGGACUUCUCCGCGACCCUUCCCCUCUGCAGGGAGGUGGGACCAAUUUGGAUGGUCCGCCCCCGCCACUUAAUGGAUCCAAAUGGUUUCCAGAGAGUGGUAGGGGAUGCUUUAUCCCAUGUUGAUGGCCUUUCAGUUGAUUCCCUGGUGUCCCGCUGGAAUGUGGAGUUAACCAGGGCUAUUGACUGUUUGGCUCCGAAGCGCCCUCUCCGAUUGCAUGGAGCCCGGACAGCCCCAUGGUUUUCCACGGAUCUGAGGGCAAUGAAACAAUUGUUGAGACGGCUAGAGCGCCGGUGGCGGAUAACCCAUUCUGAAUCUAACCGGACACAGGUUAGAGCUCAAUGUCGAGCCUACCAAGUGGCGAUAGCGACGGCGAAGAAGAAUUUCUUCACCGCCUCUAUUGCAUCUGCAGAAAACAGCAGCAGGAGACUUUUUCAGGUGGUUCACAAUUUAGCGGAACCACCUGCGACAUCUGCGCCCAGUACGGGCCACAUGAUCUCCUGCAAUGAUUUUGCAAAGUUUUUUGCAGAUAAAAUCGCUCAGAUUCGGGAAGAAGUAGACUCCACCGUGGGAGCACGGCCGGGGCGGGAGAGUGCUAGAGUUUUGUCUAGUCAAGUUGAGUGGGAUCAAUUCCAAUCUGUUACCUCUGAGGAUGUGGACAGGCUGCUUGGACGAGUGAAACCAACCACCUGUCUCCUGGAUCCUUGCCCAUCCUGGCUUAUAAAAGCUAGCCUGGAAGGGCUGGGCGAUGGGCUUCAUGGGGUGAUGAAUGCUUCCCUCCAUGUAGGAGCCUUCCCAGACCCGCUGAAAGAGGCGGUUAUUAAACCGCUUCUUAAAAAACCAUCUUUAGAUGCGGCCACGAUGGCCAACUAUCGCCCAGUCUCAAAUCUUCCAUUCUUGGGCAAGGUGAUUGAGCGAGUGGUUGCUGAACAACUCCAGGCACACCUGGAAGAAGCGGACCAUUUGGAUCCCUUCCAGUCAGGAUUCAGGCCUCAUCAUGGGACUGAAACUGCCUUGGUCGCACUGGUUGAUGAUCUCCGGCGGGCUAGGGACAAAGGUGAGAGCUGUUUCCUAGUUCUGCUGGAUCUCUCAGCAGCGUUUGAUACCAUCAACCAUAACAUCCUUCUGGACCGUCUUGAGGGGCUGGGAGCUGGGGGCACUGUCAUACAGUGGUUCCGCUCCUUCCUCCUGGGCCGUGUUCAGAAAGUGGUGGUGGGGGAUGAGUGUUCAGACCCCUGGGCUCUCACUUGUGGGGUGCCUCAGGGUUCUGUCCUCUCCCCCAUGCUUUUCAACAUUUGACAUGCAGCCGCUGGGAGAGAUCAUCAGGAGGUUUGGGCUGGGUGUUCAUCAGUAUGUGGAUGAUACCCAGCUCUACCUCUCUUUUAAAUCAGAACCAGUGAAGGCAGUGAAGGUCCUGUGUGAGUGUCUGGAGGCGGUUGGAGGAUGGAUGGCGGCUAACAGAUUGAGGUUGAAUCCUGACAAGACAGAAGUACUGUUUUUGGGGGACAGGGGGCGGGCAGGUGUGGAGGACUCCCUGGUCCUGAAUGGGAUAACUGUGCCCCUGAAGGACCAGGUGCGCAGCCUGGGAGUCAUUUUGGACUCACAGCUGUCCAUGGAGGCACAGGUCAAAUCUGUGUCCAGGGCAGCUGUUUACCAGCUCCAUCUGGUACGUAGGCUGAGACCCUAUCUGCCUGCGGACUGUCUCGCCAGAGUGGUGCAUGCUCUGGUUAUCUCCCGCUUGGACUACUGCAAUGCGCUCUACGUGGGGCUACCUUUGAAGGUGACUCGGAAACUACAACUAAUCCAGAAUGCGGCAGCUAGACUGGUGACUGGGGGCGGCCGCCGAGACCAUAUAACACCGGUCUUGAAAGACCUACAUUGGCUCCCAGUACGUUUCCGAGCACAAUUCAAAGUGUUGGUGCUGACCUUUAAAGCCCCAAACGGCCUCGGUCCAGUAUACCUGAAGGAGCAUCUCCACCCCCAUUGUUCUGCCCGGACGCUGAGGUCUCAUUGCAAGAAGCAAAGUUACAGGGAACCAGGCAGAGGGCCUUCUCGGUAGUGGCGCCCGUCCUGUGGAACGCCCUUCCAGCAGAUGUCAAAGCGAUAAACAACUACCUGACAUUCAGAAGACAUCUUAAGGCAGCCCUGUUCAGGGAAGUUUUUAACGUGUGAUAUUUUACUGUAUUUUUGGUUUCUAUGGAAGCCGCCCAGAGUGGCUGGGGAGGCCCAGCCAGAUGGGCGGGGUAUAAAUAAUUUAUUAUUAUUAUUAUUAUUAUUAUUAUUAUUAUUAUUAUUAUAUUAAUAAUAGUUGUUGUUGUUAAUUGAAUUGAUAUACCACCCUUCAUCAAAAGAUCUCAGGAACAUUGAAAACAUAGAACUCAUAAAAAGUAUACAAAUGAUACAUCACCUCAAAUCCUUUAAUCAGGCGAGUUUCCUCCUUUCGAAAGAGGCAGGUGGAAUCUCCACAGUUGCUAAUAGAAUAACGUUGAAAGGCUAGUGAAAUAUGGGGAACCAAGAGCAUCUGCUUGGCAUGCAGAAUUAUUAUUAUUAUUAUUAUUAUUAUUAUUUACUGGAAGGCAGCAGCAACCAGGCUGAUUCACAUCACAUAAAUCCCUUCCGUUGCCUCCACAUUUUGCAUUGCAAUCUUCCUUCCAGGAGGGCUAGAGUAUGGUUACCAGAUAUUUUUCAAUGAAUCCGGGGACACUUUUUUUUUUGGAAGCUGAGUAGCAACAGGGAGUCAGUAGUGGGGAUGGUGAGGCAAAAGACCCUGGCUCCCUCUCCUUCUGCCAGAAGCCCCCUCCCUGCUUGUCUCUCAGAGCCCGGAGACGUCUGACAAUGGAGGAGCAAAGGCAGGCUGCACUGUUGGAUCGCUUGAACCCCAGAGCGGAGGGGACUUGGAAAGCUGUGGGGAGCCAGGGGCCUUCACUCUCAGCAACUGAUUUCAUGGAGGAAGAGGCUCAGGGAAUUCUGCUCAAUACUGACCCAGAGCAGAACUCCAAUGUAUAGUUAGCAGAGUAAAAUCUAAACAUGUUGCAGGAUCCCCCAAAAUAGAUCAGAGGCAAUUGUAUUUCACCCAGCAGAGCUUUACUGCUACUGAAGACAAAUGAGGAUACUGGUCACAGAUCCAAAAUGUACAGGAUUGGCCCUGUCCAUCAGAAAUCCAGUUGCAGCAGACUUAACCUAAACUUACCACAACUUAUUAUAAGUCUAAACCUUAACACUUAACCUUAACCUUAACACAUACUAUGUACAGAACACCAGAGGGAAGAGAGAGAGAGAGAGAGAAAUUGAAACCCCGGCUCCUUCUGGCCUCUUCUUACAGUCAGCUUGACCUUGACAGAAGAGAGAACAGAGCCACUUUAACCCAGCUGUACUCAGCUUCUCGGAAGGAAUAACCCAAACAUCAGGAACCUUCUGCUUGUUUCUUUUACGCAGAGAAGCUUCCGGAACCCUCUUGAAUUAAAUAGUAUGGGAAAUAUCAAUAUCAGAUCCAUCCUUUCUGCACUCAGAAAUGCAAACUGACAGACCCUCUGGGAAUGAGCUGCUCUUCUCAUUCGGCCUGAAACUCAGCCAAGUCUGUGAAUAUUGUGUUCUUGCUGAUAAAGAGUUAACUCCAGCUGUGAACUGUGGGAUUUCCUGCCCAGAUAACUCUGUGACACCAGCCUUCUGAAUGUCGCCUGUAGGAUUCAUCUGUAGUUGCAGCUUUCAUGGAAUCCUAGAGUUGAAAGGGACCCCAAGGGUCAUCAAGUCCUGCAUUGCAGACGAGAACAAAUAAUGUCCAGGAUUCACCUAGCCAGCCCCAUCUGCUGCGAAAUAUAGCCUGCCCCCCACUCCUCGAUGCCCCCAUGAACCCCUUGAAUUUGGCUCUAGGGCAUUGAGAGGGAACCUCCCCAGAACAACUCACUAGGAGAGGAGAAAGUGGAUCCUUCCAUCAGGGAAACUAGAAUGCUUGCGUAGGCAGAAUAACGUGGAAAACACAAGGCGGAGUACAAAGAUGAAUACCCAGAAUAAAAGAAUUCCAUUAAAGCGUUAAAAUAAGCAUCCAUAAUAAAAAUGUGCAGCAAAGCAAUCCUACUGAAACAACGCAGCAAUUAAGAGGAAGGAAAGAACAGAGCAUUGUUUAGCAGAUCAUAUUGAUCCUGUUUCAGAGGAGGACAUUUCCGUUUUUCUUUUAGGGUGCAGUUUGCUUUGAAGACAUCUCUGUUUGUUUCACUGAAGAGGAGUAGGCGUUGCUGGAUCCUGACCAGAAAGCUCUGCACAAGGGCAUCAUGGAGGAGAAUCGUGGGAUCGUGGCCUCUCUUGG